GGGUGGGCGCCGGGGCCAAGGGCUCACCCUGGUGCUUGGCAGGUGGCACUCAGGCUGACGGAGCACCUCCCCAUUCUCCCCUGCCCCAGCCUCAUGGCACUUUCCCAGGGGCACUGUUGUGCCGUCUUCCUCAGAGGGGACUCCGACAGGUGUCACAGGGCAGGGUCUGGGGUGUGGUCUCCAACAUUCCUGGAAGAGACACCUCCCUCCUGACCCCAGUUUUUCCCUUUGGGCAAUAGGGAUAACAGAAAGGGGGAAAAAAAAAUCCAUGGAGUGGGGUAGGAGGGUUGUCAUUAAAGUGAAAUGAGCAAAAAUACCACAGGUGCUCAGUAAAUGUAGCCAUACAUGUGUCCUAAGCCUUAGAGCAGUUUAAGCUUCAAUAACCCUACAAAUUGCAAUGCUCCAAACUCUAUGCUCCACGCCCGGGAAAGCACGAUUAUUCCCAUUUCUUUUGCACUUCUUUUCUCCUGUGAACUCGAAGGCCUUUUUAAUGUCAACAUUUGCCAUCUUCAACCAGAGGGACGUUGGAAACUGACCUUCCCAGCUUCCCAAAACUAAACAGCGUGUGAGAAAUAGGAAGUUACACUUUCAAAUGGAAAGUUGGCAGCGUGCGUUGUUCUGAAGAGGUUUCGAGAGCUCCAAGUCUCGGGACUUGGGCCCUGUGUGUAUCGCGACGCAGGAAGUAACUGCUCAGGUCGGCUGCCAGCCCCACGUCCCCCGCCAGCCACAGCCAUGAGCAACCGGAGGAAGGACCACCUUGGUGCCAGCAGCUCAGAGCCCCUCCCGGUUAUCAUCAUUGGACUCAGGACAGCACAAGAUAAGAGAAGGACAAAUAAGAAGUGAUGUCACGAGGUUAAUUGCCCACGAAGGGCCACUGGCAAUGGUCCCUCGGGCAUCUGCCUGUCCUACCUGCUCUCAGGCUACACCCCCUACGUGAGGCCGGAUGCCAUCCACCCGCACCCCCUGCUGCAAAGGAAGCUCUCAGAGGCGCCAGGGGUCUCCAUCAUGGACCAGGUGGGCUUGAGCUCUGGGACAGGGGUGGACACCCCCACUGCUGGGAAACUCUCCCAGGCAAAAAUAAAAAAGCUACAUUUGUGGGAAUUCCCCGCUAGUCCACUGGUUAGGACUCAGUGCUUUCACUGUCGGGCUCAGAGUUUGAUCCCUGGACAGAGAUCUAGGAUCCCACAAGCCACGUGGCACAGCCAAGAAACAAAAGGAUGCGUGUGUGAGACAUGGGAGGCCACAGAAACAGGGAAAGAGGGGUGGCAGCUAAGACGUCAGCUUGCCUCGCCUCCCCUCGUCCAGCGAUUCUAAACCCAGGAUGGUUUUGCUCUCCUGAGGACGCUUGGCCAGCUAGAGACAGUUUCAGUUGUCACGCCCAGAGUGGUGACACCACUGGCUUAGAGGGUUGAGGCCAGGGAUGCCGGGACAUCCCACCACACACAGGACGAGCCCCCCAGCCCUGGAGCCACGAGUGCCAAAGCUGAGGACUCCAGUCCUGGAUACUGCAGACCUACUAGCCCCUGCUCGGGAGGGCCGACCAGUCCCCCCUCCACACCCCUCGCCUCCCAGGAGGUCACUCUGUCUGCAGCCCCUUCAGGCAGCAUCCACCAAGCUGGGCCCCUCCACCCCGGAGCUGGAGGAUG